AGCGGAUCGAUGGGAGCUUGCUCCCUGAGAUCAGCGGCGGACGGGUGAGUAACACGUGGGUGAACCUGCCUGUAAGACUGUGGAUAACUCCUGGGAAGACCGGGGCUAAUACCGGAUAACACCUACCCCCGCAUGGGGGAAGGUUGAAAGGUGGCUUCGGCUAUCACUUACAGAUGGACCCGGGGCGCAUUACCUAGUUGGGGAGGUAAUGGCUCACCAAGGCGACGAUGCGUAGCCGACCUGGGAGGGUGGAUCGGCCACACUGGGACUGAGACACGGCCCAGACUCCUACGGGAGGCAGCAGUAGGGAAUCUUCGGCAAUGGACGAAAGUCUGACGGAGCAACGCCGCGGGAGUGAAGAAGGUUUUCGGAUCGUAAAACUCUGUUGUUAGGGAAGAACAAGUGCCGUUCGAAUAGGGCGGCGCCUUGACGGUGCCUAACCAGAAAGCCACGGCUAACUACAUGCCAGCAGCCGCGGUAAUACGUAGGUGGCAAGCGUUGUCCGGAAUUAUUGGGCGUAAAGCGCGCGCAGGUGGUUUCUUAAGUCUGAUGUGAAAGCCCACGGCUCAACCGUGGAGGGGCAUUGGAAA
rnacentral:rRNA from 1 species